GAUGAACGCUGGCGGCGUGCUUAACACAUGCCAGUCGAACGAAGCACUUUAUUUGAUUUCCUUCGGGACUGAUUAUUUUGUGACUGAGUGGCGGACGGGUGAGUAACGCGUGGGUAACCUGUCUUGUACAGGGGGAUAACAGUUGGAAACGGCUGCUAAUACCGCAUAAGCGCACGGCACCGCAUGAUGCAGUGUGAAAAACUCCGGUGGUAUAAGAUGGACCCGCGUUGGAUUAGCUAGUUGGUGAGGUAACGGCCCACCAAGGCGACGAUCCAUAGCCGACCUGAGAGGGUGACCGGCCACAUUGGGACUGAGACACGGCCCAAACUCCUACGGGAGGCAGCAGUGGGGAAUAUUGCACAAUGGGCGAAAGCCUGAUGCAGCGACGCCGCGUGAGCGAAGAAGUAUUUCGGUAUGUAAAGCUCUAUCAGCAGGGAAGAUAAUGACGGUACCUGACUAAGAAGCACCGGCUAAAUACGUG
rnacentral:rRNA from 1 species